CUCCCAUAAGGAUGCCCAAGUCCCUGCACUCAUAAGUGCCUCCCAUCUCCCUGAGGGCUCUGCUUUCGGGGGUGUCACCUUUCAGAGGAAGCCACUCGAUACAGGGGAGAGCUUUUACUUUCCUUAGCAUGUGAGGAGUGGGAGCAGAUAUUCUCUGACCCCCUGCACACCCCCACGUGCACAGGCCUGGCUGCUGCCUGGUGAAGCGGGGACCCCAGCGCUCCACCCCCUUCCUACCCUCAGGCCCUGCUUCUCUCACCUCGUGGGGAAGCCCAAGCCUCGUGGCCCAACUGGGGCUCAGUUAA
rnacentral:lncRNA from 1 species